UGGGGUGUAGCCAAGCGGUAAGGCAGCAGGUUUUGAUCCUGUGCACCGUAGGUUCGAAUCCUACCACCCCAGCCA
rnacentral:tRNA from 2 species